GUUUGCUUUCCUUUGCAAUCCGACCAAAUUACUGUUUCAUGCACGAUUGGUUGCUGUGUUAAAUAAUUUGCAUAGCAACAAGACACUGAUUGGUCGAAUUCGGCAGCGCUGCUGCAGCCGUUACAGAAUUUUCUCUGUCAUUACUGAGAGCGGGAAGAAGCACUUCUGAAACACACGUCCAGGCAUUUUGCUUCUGUCUUUUUCGACUUAAAAGCUCAAAAAUAUUAAGAAAGUGGAUUUAAAUGAUUAAAUAGUUUGCAGAUGAAAUGUAAAGGCAUAGCAACACCACAUUGAUUGGCCAAAGAAUUUUCAAACAGAACGGAGAGCGGGAAGCAGACGACCAAGGCUUUGUCGUCGAUGUCGUCUGAAGAACUCCUAUUAAAAUUAACAGAGGCCGGACUCGAAUUCUCAGAGGAAGAAAACAGAAAAUUCAAAGAUUUUGAAGUUGAUGGGGAAACUGUCAGUGCUGGUCUCACGGAUCACAUGAUAGCACAACUUUUUGAGAAGUCUUUUAAGAAGCAAGUUAAAUUUAUCAAACUUAUCCAACAACUUGAAGAGAACCAGAGUGAAGAACUGUCUGAAAGUCUGACUACACCUUCAGCUUUGA